AUUGAACGCUGGCGGCAGGCCUAACACAUGCAAGUCGAACGGUAACAGGAAGCAGCUUGCUGCUUCGCUGACGAGUGGCGGACGGGUGAGUAAUGUCUGGGAAGCUGCCUGAUGGAGGGGGAUAACUACUGGAAACGGUAGCUAAUACCGCAUAAUGUCGCAAGACCAAAGAGGGGGACCUUCGGGCCUCUUGCCAUCGGAUGUGCCCCGAUGGGAUUAGGUUGUUGGUGGGGUAACGGCUCACCAAGGCGACGAUCCCUAGCUGGUCUGAGAGGAUGACCAGCCACACUGGAACUGAGACACGGUCCAGACUCCUACGGGAGGCAGCAGUGGGGAAUAUUGCACAAUGGGCGCAAGCCUGAUGCAGCCAUGCCGCGUGUAUGAAGAAGGCCUUCGGGUUGUAAAGUACUUUCAGCGGGGAGGAAGGGAGUAAAGUUAAUACCUUUGCUCAUUGACGUUACCCGAAGAAGAAGCACCGGCUAACUCCGUG
rnacentral:rRNA from 1 species